AACCAAUGGUGACGGCAUAUUCUCAAAAGGUCCUUGUAUUUAUCCCAUGCAUCAUAGAGUGCUUCUAAAUCCAUUUGCACAAAAGAAGAGAUAUCAUUAUGUAAUUU
rnacentral:snoRNA from 1 species